CCUACGGGAGGCAGCAGUGGGGGAUAUUGCACAAUGGGGGAAACUCUGAUCCAGCGACGCCGCGUGUGGGAAGACGGCCCUCUGGAUUGUAAACCACUGUCCCCAGGGACGAAGAUGACGGUACCUGGGGAGGAAGCUCCGGUUAACUACGUGCCAGCAGCCGCGGUAAUAGGUAGGGAGCGGGCGUUGUCCGGAAUUACUGGGUGUAAGGGGAGCGUAGGCGGGACUGCAAGUUGGGUGUAAAAUCUUCCGUCUCAACCGGUAGCCGCACUCAAAACUGCAGUUCUUGAGUGAAGUAGAGGCAGGCGGAAUUCCUGGUGUAGCGGUGAAAUGCGUAGAGAUUAGGAGGAACACCAGUGGCGAAGGCGGCCUGCUGGGCUUUUACUGACGCUGAGGCUCGAAAGUGUGGGGAGCAAACAGGAUUAGAUACCCUAGUAGUC
rnacentral:rRNA from 1 species